UACGUAGGGUGCAAGCGUUGUCCGGAUUUAUUGGGCGUAAAGAGCUCGUAGGCGGUUUUGAAAGUCGGGAGUGAAACCUCCAGGCUCAACCUGGAGACGCCACUCGAUACUUCAAUGACUUGAGCUCGGUAGGGGUAAGCGGAAUUCCUGGUGUAGCGGUGAAAUGCGCAGAUAUCAGGAGGAACACCGACGGCGAAGGCAGCUUACUGGGCCGAUACUGACGCUGAGGAGCGAAAGCGUGGGGAGCGAACAGG
rnacentral:rRNA from 1 species